ACCUGGCAGCUAGACGUUCGUCAGCUCCAAAAAAAAAGGUCAGAUUGGUCGUCUUCCUCCGCCGCAGCCAAAAUCCGCCCUCCUUCCCAGACUCUGUUCGCCUUCCUCCGUCCGCCACGAGUUAAUACUCAUCAAAACACCUCUUAAAUCCGAGCAUUCAACCACUGAAAACUGCUCAAUGGAGCUCAUCAGCCGCCUCAGUUGCAUGCACCUUAAAAGGAGGCCCCGCUGCCAUCCGCAUCCACACUUCUUUUGGCCUAUGUGUGUUCUUCGUGUGUACAUAAAUUUGAUCCUCAACGCCUCAGUAGUUCACGACACCAACUCACCGCUCACCUCGCACCUGCGUUCCUCCUCCUCCUUAUCCAAUUUUCUUUGUUCACAGAGAAUUAGAGGUGUUGCUACCUCAGUACCUAGGUGGCCUCCUCCCUCGAGCUUGCAGUCCUCCAGGCCGGUCCCUUCAUUCUCCAGCUCUGCAUCCGUUGGCUUCACCAUACCUACAGCUUCUUAUGUGUCUCUUUGCUCUAUCUGUUGAAGUAGUAAUCUAUUUAUAUGGACCGUUUAGGAAAAUCUUUGUUUAGCGGUUUCUGGGAUAUGAGGGUGCGAUUGGUAUUUGGUAUCAGCUAGCACCAUAUUGGGGAUUUAUCAGCUAGCAGCCGAGCUAGGAUUUAUUAGAACUGGAUCGAAGGUCUCCUUCAAAGACUAUUUUAAAUUUGAUAGGAAUUUACUAAUUCACUUUUAUUCUACCAUUGCAGAUUGGCAGAAUUUUCUCUAGAUAUACUACUGGCAGAAUUUUGGAUCUCACCUUGCAAGAUUUCCAGUUUGAUUGCAGCGUUUACACAUAUUUUUUGUUAAUUAGUGAAAAUACCUCCUUAAUUCAGUUCAGUCAAAGGUGGCAGCAUCUGAACUUACAUUAUUAUACUGUAAGUAACAAUAUUCGGUGGCCUCAACUUCAUAAAGGUUCUACUGAAAUUAGCAUGCCUCUUAUUCUGAACUAUUUAAUUGACUGAUCUUCAUUGUGGGUCAUUGGAAUUUGGAAAGGCCCAUUGUCAAGACACCAUUGACAGGGAAAAUUCUGUAACAGAGGAUGCAUUGGAAAUAUUCUUCAUGUUAUGUUAUACACGUGUUAAACAUCGCUUGAUCGAAUUAUCUGCAAAACAAAUUAGGGCAGGUAUUUCACAAUUUCCAUUAAGUUGUAUGCGCUCCUUCUAUUUCUGCUCUUCAUCAUUUCAUUGGCAAUUUUUUUUUUCAAAUUCAGUGUUGUUGGCCUAACACUAGAUGGCUAGUGGAAACCCAAUUACUUAUUCUAGACAGAAAAUAAGGUUUCUUGGCUUUGGGGUAGCAUGCUGCUAAAUAAAAUAUGAACUUUUUUCCUUGAAACCUGUAGAUGGAGCAAAGUUUUCUAUAUUCUUGAACUUUGUCUGUUUGUUUGCAGUCAGUGUUCUCAAAGGUUAUUAUGAUGACAGAUGCCAAGUGAAGCAACACAUGAGGACUCCUUGAGUGGAAGGAGCACUGAAGAAUCCCAUUAAUGGAGGUCACCCCUGCGGCUGGGUGGCUGCGGGUUUAGAAGCUAAACAAUACUCCAAUACUCCAAUACUGCGUAUCUUUGUUAGUUCUCCAAAAUCAGACCUCCAGUGGCCGGCUAAACUGGAUGCAUGCAGAAGCAAAGUGGAUCCACUAGGCACUAUGGACACCAAGUUACCAGCAGUUUCCUUUUUAUGCUAAAUUUGUGUAUAUUUACUCUUGCUAUACUACAUAUUUUUCUAUGUAUUUUUUGUAAAAAACUUUGCACAUUUUCCAUGCUGAAAAUUUUAGAGCAAUACACUACUGUUUUGUAGUAAGUUACAUGAAUGCCUCAUAGUUGGUCGAAGGAAUGGCUCCGAUUCAGAGGGCUUUCUUCUUGGUCUAACCAAAGCCUCAUCCUACGUUUUCUUCUCUAUUUUCUAUAAACUGAUAGAAAUCAGUUUCACCUUGGGCAUUUACAACCUUAUAUCGUUGGUUUGUUUGAACUGCUUAUCAGGCUUGCCAUGCAAUGACAGUAUAAUUACGGAUUUACUUUUUAACCUUGACCAGUUAUACCUUUCUGUAGUAUACUCCUGGAGAUAUAUGUUAGCUCUAUGGAAGUUUGUUAUAUUUACCACAUUUAGGCCAAUUUUGUUAUGGAAUCUAAAAUUAUUCGCUACAGAUGAAUGAAAAAAUUAGAUACAAUAUGUACUCUAACUGAACUCAGACUAGCACAAAUAGGAUAUCCAUAAUUAGGUACGGUAAUACUCCUCUUCCCUGUCCUGAUGUAUCUGAAUGAGCUAUGUCUAUACUUGCACUUAACCAUUCAUAUUGCUCCUCUUCCCUUUCCUACUGUAUCUAAAUGACCUUUUUCUAUACUUGGUACUACCAAGUCUAGAUUACGUAUUCAUUGACUAAUUUCUUCAGUAUCUGUAAAUCAUUUGCCUUUGUAUUAUCUACUGCUCUUGGGCACCAAUAGAACUGAAAAGAUAUCGUGCCGAUGCACAAAAUUCAAGUCCGAUUUACUAAUUAAUUGUUAUAUAACAUGGUGUUGUGCCUGCCCUGCAACGUUCUGAGUCUGUUUUUCUCAUACAAAACAAGGUUUGCUAAUUCAUUAUAUAAAGCAGAUUACCAUAUUAUCGAUAUAAUUUGCCGCUGCAACG